GGGCCUCUUUUCCCUUCCCCCUUUUCCCCUGGACCCCCUCUUUUUUGUUCCCAAUGGAACACACUCCCAAUUCUCCUGCACAUCCCAGGGUUGCCUGACAAGUCUCCCCUGGGACAAUGACAUUUCUCACCAUGAUGGAUAAGCUGGUGACUGAGCAAAAGAGGACCUGGGACCCUGACCACCCACUUUGUAACCUGACUGAUGCCUUUCUGGCUGAGAUGGAGAAGCCAGAAGGAACAUAUGAGCCACGACUGUAAAAAAGAAGAGCAGAUGUCAAAAAUAAAAAUAAGAAAAACCAACCUCCAGGGUUAUGUCCUCGGUGUAAGAAGAGAAAGCAUUGGAGAAAUGAAUGUAAAUCAAAAUUUCAUAAGGAUGGAACACCUCUGAAAGAUGAGGAGACAAAAAAAAAUGGAAUGAGAGCACUCUUCCACUCCAAAUUUAAAAAAAAAGGGGGGGGGGCAAAAUAGAGAGAUAGAGGAAGGUAAAAGUAAGCUGAACCCUCUGACCUCUGAAUUUAACAUCUUAAGUUUACCUCGAGCAACACCAGUAAGUGUAGGAUUAGAACUUAUAGUAGACUUUAUGAGGGAGUGCAAUUGGUAGAUAUAGGAUUUAAAGGCCCAUUAUCAUCUGGCACCUUUGAUCUUAUAAUAGGGAGAAGUUUAAAUUAUAAGAAAAAAUUUGAAGUACUUCCUGGAAUAAUUGAUUAAGACUUCCAGGGAGAGGUAAAAAUUAUGAUUAGACCAUUAAAAGAAACAAUACAACUACAUAAGAACCAACAGGUAGCUCAGAUAAUGCUACUUCCUUAUAUACAACUCCCCCAAUCCAAUAUUAAAGCAGACUAGAGGAGAUGAAGGGUUUGGCUCCACAGAGGUGGCAGCUUGGACUCAGGAAAUUACUAGACAAAGAACCUUAAAAACUAUAAAAGUAGAAGGAAAAAAUAGCUAAGGAUUAUUGGACACAGGAGCAGAUAGGUCUUGCAUUAUAGGAAAAGACUGGCCUGGGACAGUUCAUACCACCUCUACUCUAGUGGGAUUGGGGCUCACUUCCAAUGUAGCUCAAAGUUCAAAAAUCCUGAUAUGGGAAUGUGAAGAUAAAGUGGGUACUUUUCAAUCUUACAGUAUUUCCUCUCUGCCAUUCUCCUUAUGGGGAAGAGAUAUCUUAGGGGAAAUGAAAGUAAAAUUAACCACAGGUGAAAAAUGGAAUGAGCAGCAUUUUAUAUCGGGGCCGCUGAUGAAUUAUAUGCAGAUAAAAUUUCAUGGAUCAGUGAUGAGCCUGUGUGGCAGCUGAAUCAGUGGUCCCUAACUCAGGAAAAGAUAGAGGCUUUAGAACAAUUAAUAGAACAACUGCAAUUAGGACAUAUUGAAGAAUCUAACAAUCCAUGGAAUACUCCUGUGUUUGUCAUUAAGAAAAAAAUCAGGUAAAUGGAGGCUCUUACAAGAUCUUAGGGCUGUUAAUAAGACAAUGCAUGAUAUGGGAGCUUUACAGCCAGGACUCCCAUCCCCAAUAGCUGUUCCAGAGGAUUAUUAUCUUAUAGUUAUAGAUUUAAAGGAUUGCUUUUUACUAUAAAAUUACAACCAGAAGACACACAAAGAUUUGCUUUCAGCAUUCCCUGUCAAUUUUCAAAGGCCAUUUCAAAGGCAUCAAUGGAAGGUUCUUCCCCCAAGGUAUGAAGAACAGUCCUACUCUUUUGCCAUGGACCGGGCUCAGUCAGCCCUCCUAAAUCCGUGGGAAUCAGGGUCUUGGACAGAUGGGCAUAGAGUCAGAGAAAAUGGAGUGACAAACAGACAGGACACAAGGGAGUGUGCUGAAUCUGAAUGUAAUUUGUCAAAUCGAGCAUCAUACUUUUUAUACAGAAGAAAAUAGGGAAGUUAGGUGACACAUCGGUAAGGUAUGAAUAUGGUUACCGGAUGCUUAAUGACUCUAACACAAAACAGAGGAAUGCAAACACAAAGACUGGCAGGAACUGGGCAAUAAAACAACUGAGACAAAGUCAGCUCUAUCUAAGGUCAGCUAUAGUUUUAGAAGCCAGUUGUGAGGUCUUUACACUCCCUGGGCAAGGGCUUUCAUGCCCAAGUCAUGGUUCUAAUUAGGUUCCACUGUAGCAAACCUUCUCAUGAAUAAUGCAAUACUCUAAAACCACAGCCUGAUCUACUUCCUAAACCAUUGUAAAUUCCUGUCUAUGGGAGCG
rnacentral:lncRNA from 1 species